AGAGUUGCUCCGUCCACCUCUCUUUUGUGGAGAAACUCAGCACUGAGAGAGAGAACUGGACCAGAGCAACUGGAUUAGACAGAACACACUGGACUGGACUGGAUUUACCGGACCGGGCUCACUUUAGUCACGGUUUAGUUUAACUUUUUUUUGUACAGCUCCAGUAAUGUGACUCAAACCUGGAGCUUCACAGUUGCAUCAGUCGCACAGACUUGCGUCCAGUUUUCUCUGGUGGAGAGACAUGGCGCUGGGGAAGAACCGGACUGGAAUAACUGAAACGGACUGGACUCGCUGGCUUGGACUGACUCUGCAGUAAAGUGUGUCAAAGCUGGAGCUUCACAGUUGCUCAGACUUGUUCACAACUCUGUCCAGCAGCUAUGAGGAGCUAAACAUGUGCUGUGGAAUGGCCUUCACACCGGUCAGCUCACGCAGUACCAGGCAUAUAAGUGGAAGGCAGUGGUGUUUCUUCAGACUGGUCUGCUGUGAAAGUUAAAGCUGGUAGAAACUGACCACGGUGUCAGGUGCCGUCCGCUGGGUUUGUUUGUGAAGACACUGUUUUCCAUUUUAUAUGAAGCAUAAAAUUGACUUAAUAACAAA